CCACCGCCGGUCUCUCCUCCCUCUCGUCCCACGCUCUCGACCCCCGCCACCGCCUCCCCCUCGCACCGCCGCCGUCGUGUCCCCGUCCCCGUCGAGUCGCCGUGUCCGACGCCUUCGCCUCCCUCUCCCGCCGCCGGUCCGCCGUUCGCUGCCGUCGCCGUCUCCAUCUUAUCUCCGCGUCCGCCUCGCGCCACCGCCGCCUCCGCCGUUACCGACCGCCUCCAUUGCCGUCACCGAGCGCACAACCUCCACCGUCACCGAGCCGCCGCUGCCACCGUCGCUGUCGACCACUCUCUCCGGCUGCCGGCUGCCGGCUGCCGGCGUCCGGAUCCGUCGGGGGGCUGUCAGAUCCGUGUCCCCUGACCACAUGGAAGGGUCGCUCUCGGGUGGAGCAGAUCAACGCUGGGCACGAAGGUGCGAGCGCGGAUGGAGCAGUUCGAGCAGCCGCCGCCAUCCUCCUCGUCCCUCGAAGCCACAGGUAAUAGACGAGACAAGCCGCUCUUCCAGGCCAACAAGGAGAAGAAGGGUGCUAUUCAACGAGUGGUUCAAGCACAAAGCUAAACCAGCUGCAGUGAAGGAGACAAUGCAAGCUAUGGGUGUCAGUUGUCACAGGCCUUAUGACCCACAACAUCAAGAGUCACCUCUAGGUACCUCCUGCCAUGUUGCAAGCUUUUUAUCAGGAGUUGAUCAGUGACUACUUUCUUAAUGGGCAUGAUUCUUUACACUAUGAAAGCAUGAAGUGACUAUUUUGGCAUUGGAGAUCGGCAGCGGUCUUGCAAAUCUUAUGCUGAGGUGAGCUCCAAGCAUGGUGCCAGAUCAGGACGGUGAACUCCGGCAUGAUGUGUGAGCCGAUAUGAUGGCUAGGCUGUGGCGACCCGUAGAAAUGUUCUCUAAGCACUUCACUUCGGCUAACAGCCCAUGUUACAAGUUCUAUCGUCCAUGAGCAAUCAAGCAACAUCAGAUAUGGAGAGAAUCGGAAGCAUGGGCAGAGAUAUGCGUAUCAUGAGGUCUGCCUCCAUUAUAGAACAGCAACAUUUUAUUCAGCCACUGAUAUACAAACAACAUAUGUUCCAGCUUUUUUAUGAUGACUCAAACAACAUCUGCUAUGCUAAGGUUCACACAGUUGGAUGGAGAAGAUUUUCCUCUCCCACCCGAGAUUGUUGCCCGCUGCAAUGGACACGAUGGGAAACAUCUAACUUUAGUCACACGGAAUAGCAAACCAGUGAAUGUCAGGCUCGAAAAAAGAGGCCAAUCAUUCUACAUCUCGAAAGGCUGGAAAAAAUUUGUUGAACUUACUGACUUACGUGUUGGACAGUGUGUUAGAUUUAGUGUCUCUUCUCCAUCAACACUUGAUCUCCUCAUACUUGACAAGCAUGGAACAAGUCUUGCCAUACCUCCAUCAAAAAGAGAUCUGAAAUUAAAGUCAAAAAGGUCUACACACCAGGACAGCAAAGGCCAUCCAUCUAACACUGAUCCAGGACCAUCACGUAUUAUCAACCGCAGGGUGACCAAAUCAGCAAACAACAAACCCAAGUUUGCAGAUCUUUGCUUCUGUGCCGAGAAUGUUACCUUAUCAACUGCUCUGAAAAGGCACAUGAAAACCCUUGCAUAGUGCAUCGAACAUCCAAGUAAACUCUAUGUUGUCACCAUGAAUGAAACGUUCAUGAAACAAGACAGAGUGUACUUUUCAAAAAGGUACCCUAUAGACCAUCUGGAGCAGCUCAUGACUGGCAGAACAGAAGAUAUUGAAGUGCAGACAUUAGUAGGCCCUUCAGUGAACAUGGUUCUUCACACAUCAACAGACCAUCGUUGCAACCUAAAAAAAGGAUGGACAGAUUUCGCCCUCAGCAAUGGCAUCAAGUUGAACACAGUGUGCAUUUUCCAUUUUUACAAGACAACCCAUCUAGGAGUGAUUGUCGAUAUCUUCUGAAGAUACCCUAAUGCUAUCUGAUAUCAUGCUUUUGUUAAUAGCAAGCGUCCCUACCUCCAUACAGUCUACUAUUUAUAUAUUAUAGUGCCAAUGUUAUGGCCAUCAGCUCUGAACCAUAUAAAUACACUGUGUGCACUCUACUUAUCAGUCUAUUAUGGCACUUACAUAUGUACACACUGGAAGGGACACCAGUCAACCUCCUUAACUAUGUAUGAACCAUUCACUUCUUUAUCUGUAAAGACGAACUGUCCUUCCUUCACUGCUUUCUUCCUUA